rnacentral:rRNA from 1 species
AACGAACGCUGGCGGCACGCCUAACACAUGCAAGUCGAACGAAACCUUCGGGUCUAGUGGCGCACGGGUGCGUAACGCGUGGGAAUCUGCCCUUGGGUGCGGAAUAACAGUUAGAAAUGACUGCUAAUACCGCAUAAUGACUCCGGUCCAAAGAUUUAUCGCCCAGGGAUGAGCCGUCGUCGGAUUAGCUAGUUGGUGAGGUAAAAGCUCACCAAGGCGACGAUCCGUAGCUGGUCUGAGAGGAUGAUCAGCCACACUGGGACUGAGACACGGCCCAGACUCCUACGGGAGGCAGCAGUGGGGAAUAUUGGACAAUGGGCGAAAGCCUGAUCCAGCAAUGCCGCGUGAGUGAUGAAGGCCUUAGGGUUGUAAAGCUCUUUUACCCGGGAUGAUAAUGACAGUACCGGGAGAAUAAGCCCCGGCUAACUCCGUGCCAGCCGCCGCCGUAAGAC